AAACCGCUUUCCUCUCUGCUUGUCAGUCUCCUCCAUCUUCUUUCCCCCCUUCUCAAUAGGAAUGAUUGAACGCCCAAAUCCUCUUCUUCUUCUUCUUCUUCUUGAUCCGUUGAUUCCUUGCCAAUGCCAUCCUCAGCUCAACCUCUAACCCUAACCCUAACUAUACCCUAGUACUCACACUCUCCCCUUCACUCUUCGCCUUACGACCUCCAUCACCUUCCCCAUCUCCAUCUCCAUCUCCAUCUCCAUCUCCAUACCCAUAUCGUCCUCCUUUUCCCAAGAUCUCCAAGUCCGACCACUGAUCUCCGUCUCUUCCCCACUCUUGAACCCUGCUCUUCCUACCCUUCCAACCGCCAUGGACACCACCUCUAUUCUCGCCGCCCUGCAACUCCUUUGCUAAGAGAAAAGCAGCUCAAUUUCUGAGAGAAGCUCGGGUUGUUGUUCUCUGGUGCUAUUAUCCUUUUGCAGUUCGGCUUCGCUGCGUUCUUGAUCUUUAAAAAGCUGCAAUUGAGGAAGCUGGAUGAUGAAGUGGCCUUGAGGCGUUAGUAGGAGAGAACAACUUUGGGGGUUUCCUUCUUUUGAUUCUUGGGAAAGAAGAUUGAUUCUUGGUGUAUUGAAUUGUUGAUGUUGAAUUGAGCGAAGUUGAUUCUUUGAUGCUCGUUGUUUGAUGUUCUUCAGGUUUUUGAUCAGUGCUUUUUCGAUGGGCCAUGCCUUCAAGGUGCAUUUGCCUACGGGCUGACGGGAAACUAGUUUCUUCAUGUCAUUGGUGAUUGAGGUUUGGACGUGUUCCUCGCCCUUUUGAGCUUUUUGAAGUGACUUAUACAAAGAAGGGUACUUCCAUGCUUGUUGAUGCACGUGCUCAAUCGAUUAAGAUAAGCGGAACAAUUUUUUGUGGGGUUUUCAAUUAUAGACUUUGUCUACAAUGUUUUGUGAGUUUAUAUUAAGUUGUUUUAAAAAUAAUAUUUAAUGAGUUGAGUUAACUGAUGUAGGAUCGCUAUUUGGAGCUUGUGGAGCAGGCAUCUCAAACACAAGGAGGACAUGACGAGCUUCUUAUUGUGGAUGAAAUAACUCUAUACUAUAAGGCUGAUGAGGGAGGAAAGAAAGGUUGAGGUUAGAGAUUUCCGUCAAACUCUUAGUCAAGUCCAAGAUCAUGAGAGAGGCUUCAACAAAGUUUGUUUGAAUUGAAAGAGGAGGGGGACCAUUAUCAUGAGGAGAUGAUGCGUCAAAUGAAGGACAUGAUGAGUUUUGAGAAGAGAAUUCUUUAGAAGUCGUAGUUUACCACACAGGACUCGCAACCAUUAACUGAUGAUCAUGAUGUUGACUUAUAGUUGUAUUUGUCAUAUACUUAUUAUUUUGUGUUGAAUAUAUAUACUUAAACAUUUCUUUGUGUAUGAAUUAAGGA